GGGAAGUUAUAAGAAUGGGUAUUGCCAGGUUUUGGAAAGUGUUUGCCCCCUCCUUCCCCCAUUACAAACUUUAAAAUCUGGCUCAUAGUUUCCAUUUUGGAAGCUGUGCUACACGUUAUACUUCCUAACGUCCAUAAAAUUUGGGAUCCUUGGCUGAAUCUUCUCACCAGACGCCAGCUGAAACUGCGGUUCUGGCUCUUUCAAACAGUGCCUAACUUUUCCAGACAUAGAAGUGAUCCAGCAGGGGGCAGAGUCACAAUGUUUUGCCUACUGAUGACUAUCUGUGCAUUUUAGUUCUGUACUUAGAACUUUUUUUGUGCUUUUUGUUUGGAAUAAUCUUUUUUUUUUCCUCUCUAUUUUUGACUUUUAUUCUUUUCUAGAUCAUUUGUAUU